CUAAAAAUAAUGUUAUUAAAACGUAUAGGAAGAAAAAAAAAUAAAAAUGAAAAAGAAAAAGAAAACCGCAUUUUUUCCUUCCCUGGAUUCUCUUCACUCUUCAAAACCUCAAGCCUUAUAAGUAAGAUCCCUAAUAGACGGCGAGACCAGCCUACAAAAAUCAAUCAUAUGGCGGCGAUUACGGUGGUGGAGAUUUCCUUCAAGUGGCGGCCUUUCAUCCGCAUGGCGGUUCUUCUUCUCAUGGAGAAAGAGAAUUUCAAGCAAAUUUACAAUUUCAAAGUGAAAGGGAGCUUGCCACAAAGUUGAAGAUGAACACAAAUGGCUAAAAAUACAAUGUUCUUGCCAAGAAGAUUGCGUAGAUUGUGCAUAUUAUGUGAUGAGAUUCAUGAAGGAGAUAAUCUCACACAAGCGACUUCAAAUUCCUGAAGUUAUUGUCAGUUUCCAAGUUAUGACAACGACAACGAGCAGAUUGACGAAGUAAGAACCGAAUGCGUGCACCAUGUUGUUCAACAAUUGUAUAAUAGCUAGGUUAUGUUGAAGGAACCAACAAACAUAAGACUAUAAAUUAAUGUAUUUUACGUAGUUUAAUGUUUAGAAUUUUAUUUUAGAUAUGUGUAAUCAGUUUUAUUAGGGUGACGAUUGCAAAAAUUCUUUUAAUUGAGGUUUAGAAAUUAAUUUUCAACUAUUCUUCAA